CAUGCAAGUCGAACGAGAAUCUACUGAAAGAGUUUUCGGACGAUGGAUGUAGAGGAAAGUGGCGGACGGGUGAGUAACGCGUGAGGAACCUGCCUUGAAGAGGGGGACAACAGUUGGAAACGACUGCUAAUACCGCAUGACGCAUAGAGGUCGCAUGAUCUUUAUGCCAAAGAUUUAUCGCUUCAAGAUGGCCUCGCGUCUGAUUAGCUAGUUGGCGGGGUAACGGCCCACCAAGGCGACGAUCAGUAGCCGGACUGAGAGGUUGAACGGCCACAUUGGGACUGAGAUACGGCCCAGACUCCUACGGGAGGCAGCAGUGGGGAAUAUUGGGCAAUGGGCGCAAGCCUGACCCAGCAACGCCGCGUGAAGGAAGAAGGCUUUCGGGUUGUAAACUUCUUUUAAGAGGGAAGAGCAGAAGGCGGUACCUCUAGAAUAAGCCACGGCUAACUACGUGCCAGCAGCCGCGGUAAUACGUAGGUGGCAAGCGUUGUCCGGAUUUACUGGGUGUAAAGGGCGUGCAGCCGGGUCUGCAAGUCAGAUGUGAAAUCCAUGGGCUCAACCCAUGAACUGCAUUUGAAACUGUAGAUCUUGAGUGUCGGAGGGGCAAUCGGAAUUCCUAGUGUAGCGGUGAAAUGCGUAGAUAUUAGGAGGAACACCAGUGGCGAAGGCGGAUUGCUGGACGAUAACUGACGGUGAGGCGCGAAAGUGUGGGGAGCAAACAGGAUUAGAUACCCUGGUAGUCCACACUGUAAACGAUGAAUACUAG
rnacentral:rRNA from 1 species